rnacentral:RNase_P_RNA from 2 species
CUAUGGUGUCGGACAGUUGCUCCGGGUAAAACUGGGGAGGAAAGUCCGAACAUUCGUUCUCUCGAGUCGCACAUGUGCUUCGAGAGAAAAGCGUAGCAGGUAACGCCUGCCGGGAGUAAUCCCAGAGAUGAGAACAGAAACGACCCGGUUAAGUCCGGCUGAAACGGCAAAAUUCUUACGUGAAUGCAAGGCCGUGCCUGGGCAUCACAUUGCAUGUGAUGCGGAUUUAAGAAGCUGGAUUUAAGAUUUAAGAAUCAUUCCUAAAUCCUGAAUCCUAAAUCAAGAUUCCGCAUCGCGCGUAGCGCGAUGCUCGGGAGUGCCGCUCGAGGUCGUUGGCGACAACGGUCCCAGAUAAAUAACUGUCCGGUGCGUAGCACAACUAUGUACUGACAGAAUUCGGCUUACAGACACCCGAAGGCG